GGGAACAAGAGAAACAGUAAUUCUGAAAGCACACGGAUUAGCCCAGAGGCUGUUCUGUUCUCAUCCGUGGCUUGCACACCGAGGGUUUCAAAUACUGCAUCUCCUACGUCUUUUCUUAUUAUUAUUUCUCAUCACUUACAGAGGCCCAUUUGCUGGAGACUACAGCUGUCUCCUGGGGCCAGAGAACCAUCAACAUUUGGAACAUCAUUAGCAGCUUUUCUCCCCGUGGGUCCUAGGGAGAAAAAUCACAUUCUCAAACAGCUGGCAUCUGUGGCUACAGUUUUAAGAUGAAGAUAUAUAGUUGGUGAUCUCUGGUUUGUGCUAAAGCAACACAGAACAUCCAGCUGGACUUCCCCCAGCCUGCACCAAGAUUCCUACUCCAGGAGUACAAGGCGGGGAGCAUCACCAGCCUACAAGCAGGAAACUGGAUUCAAGAGCCAGUGGCUGGUGAUUGUUCCCAAGGUAUUUGCUGGACUUGAACUACUAAUGAGAAGCAUUAUCUGAUCAUUGUUUUCUGAUUACACAUCUUUAUACCUGUCAU
rnacentral:lncRNA from 12 species